AAAGAACUCUGUGGAAUCUCUAACAGCACUUCCCAUCUCUCAUCCCAGCGUUGGCCAAGGUACCUUGCAAGCUAAGCUGAAAUCACUAAGAGCUGGAAUCAC